CGCUCUAACUUCUGUUUCUCCUCUUUCGGAUACUCUCUCCUUUCGCUUCCUUUUGAUUUUCUUAACACCGAUGCUUACGAUACAAAGAUAGAGAAGGAGGAAAAAAUAAACCUUGCGAUUCAGAGAUGAGAAGAAGACAGACGUUAAGAGAACUACCACAGGUUUGGAGAGGGCAAAAACAGAGAAAUAAGAGAGAACAAGAGUUCGUUAUUCGAAAAGAGCAAAAACCUUUAUCGAUACCAGUUGGAGGACAGAAAAACAGUGAGUCGAAGAUUGAAGAAGUUUGAUUUUUUUUAAUUUGA